rnacentral:rRNA from 1 species
GACGAACGCUGGCGGCGUGCUUAACACAUGCAAGUCGAACGGUAAGGCCCUUCGGGGUACUCGAGUGGCGGACGGCUGAGUAACGCGUGGGAACGUGCCCCAAAGUGAGGGAUAACGCACCGAAAGGUGUGCUAAUACCGCAUAUGGUCUUCGGAUUAAAGCUUCGGCGCUUUGGGAGCGGCCCGCGUACGAUUAGAUAGUUGGUGAGGUAAUGGCUCACCAAGUCGACGAUCGUUAGCUGGUCUGAGAGGAUGAUCAGCCAGACUGGGACUGAGACACGGCCCAGACUCCUACGGGAGGCAGCAGUAAGGAAUCUUCCACAAUGGGGGCAACCCUGAUGGAGCAACGCCGCGUGCAGGAUGAAGGUUUUCGGAUCGUAAACUGCUUUUAUAAGUGAAGAAUAUGACGGUAACUUAUGAAUAAGGAUCGGCUAACUACGUGCCAGCCGCCGCCGUAA